rnacentral:rRNA from 1 species
AUUGAACGCUGGCGGAAUGCUUUACACAUGCAAGUCGAACGGCAGCACGGACUUCGGUCUGGUGGCGAGUGGCGAACGGGUGAGUAAUGUAUCGGAACGUGCCCAGUCGCGGGGGAUAACGUAGUGAAAAUUACGCUAAUACCGCAUACGAUCUAUGGAUGAAAGCGGGGGAUCGCAAGACCUCGCGCGAUUGGAGCGGCCGAUAUCAGAUUAGGUAGUUGGUGGGGUAAAGGCCCACCAAGCCAACGAUCUGUAGCUGGUCUGAGAGGACGACCAACCACACUGGAACUGAGACACGGUCCAGACUCCUACGGGAGGCAGCGGUGGGGAAUUUUGGACAAUGGGCGAAAGCCUGAUCCAGCCAUUCCGCGUGCAGGAUGAAGGCCCUCGGGUUGUAAACUGCUUUUGUACAGAACGAAAAGGUUUCUACUAAUACUAGGAGCUCAUGACGGUACUGUAAGAAUAAGCACCGGCUAACUACGUGCCAGCCGCCGCUGUAA